rnacentral:rRNA from 1 species
GACGAACGCUGGCGGCGUGCUUAACACAUGCAAGUCGAACGGUAAGGCCCUACGGGGUACACGAGUGGCGAACGGGUGAGUAACACGUGGGUGAUCUGCCCUGCACUUCGGGAUAAGCCUGGGAAACUGGGUCUAAUACCGGAUAGGACCACUGCCUGCAUGGGUGGUGGGGGAAAGCUUUUGCGGUGUGGGAUGGGCCGGCGGCCUGUCAGCUUGUUGGUGGGGUGAGGGCCUACCAAGGCGACGACGGGUAGCCGGCCUGAGAGGGUGACCGGCCACACUGGGACUGAGAUACGGCCCAGACUCCUACGGGAGGCAGCAGUGGGGAAUAUUGCACAAUGGGCGCAAGCCUGAUGCAGCGACGCCGCGUGAGGGAUGACGGCCUUCGGGUUGUAAACCUCUUUCAGCACCGACGAAGCGCAAGUGACGGUAGGUGCAGAAGAAGGACCGGCCAACUACGUGCCAGCAGCCGCCGCAG